rnacentral:rRNA from 1 species
UACGGAGGGUGCAAGCGUUGUCCGGAUUUAUUGGGUUUAAAGGGUACGUAGGCGGUCUGGUAAGUCAGUGGUGAAAUCUUGCGGCUCAACCGUAAAAGUGCCAUUGAUACUGCCGGACUUGAGUGUCGGAGGGGUAGCCGGAAUUCCACAAGUAGCGGUGAAAUGCUUAGAUAUGUGGAGGAACGCCGACGGUGAAGACAGGCUACUGGCCGACAACUGACGCUGAGGUACGAAAGCGUGGGGAUCAAACAGG